AUUUAGUACUGGCGGGCCAGACUUGAGCAACACAGUCGGGUCAGCUAUUAUUUUGCAACCUCGGCUAUUCUUUGGGCGUCUUUUCUUACUCAACGAUAACACAGAGAAGAACCUAAUCGGAUUUCAACAAGAGGACCUCAGCUGUGAAAUCGGUGCCAACUUUCCAACACGGCGGGCAGGAAACGAGUCUGCUGGACUCUUUGAGCACCUCUAGAAACAAGGAAAGACACAGGAUCAGCCGCUUGGCAAGUGGCUACCAGUUUUGGAUCCAUUCUUAUUUGAUUAAUUGGACCACAGAGAAGACCCUGGAGCAGAACUGAGGAGAUGUUUCCUUUUGUUGUAACUAAAUAUUUGGGCUUUGCUGCUUUUUUUUUUUUUUUUUUUUUUUUUGCCCGUAUACAUGAGACUGCAGUGUUAUAGAUUCUUAAAUCCACGGUCGCAUUUAGAACAUUUGGCAUUUUGUUCCGUGAUACCUUCUCUUCCUGCCGGGUAACGUUUUGCAGUUUAAAUUCGGAGCUCAUUGUACACAAAAUGUCCAGGCUUCGGGUAAUGUGUCUAUGGCAGGUCCUUGGUGUGGCUAGCAGGCCCUUCCAUAUGUCACAGGAUAACACGUGGUCAGGUUCUGCAGACCAGAGUUUCCCAGGCAACCGAGACGUGCCCUAUGGGGAUUCCUCUGGGAAGUUGAAAAAAGAGGUUGGAGAUGAGAGGUCUGGAGCCACCACGUCUCCAGGCCAUUGUUUUGCUUUCUUUUGUCUGUUCUCCUGCCUUCCCCUGGAUUCCAACAGGAGUCUCCUACGUGGGGAGUGCAUUCCUUUGCGGGCACUCCAGAAGCUUCAGGGGCGGGGGCGCGGGCGCGUAGAGAAUUCAAUUUUUUUUUUAAUACAGCUUGAUGUUUUAAACAAUUAAUAUAGUCACAUUUGAUAAAACCGUUGUAAAGUUUGUGAAGGGAAUCAAGUUACAUAAACGGGUGGUACACAGAUUUGGCCAAAAAGAAAAAAAAAACAAAAAAGGUAAAACAAAUAGGAGGCAGCAAAGAAGCUCCUGGACUCAGUUUCCAAAAUUCCUACCAUUUUUAGUUUUUCUGCUGAUGUUGUUUCCGUAUUCCUUAACAAUGGUGAUCAUGAUACCUCCUGCUUUAUUUUCCUUCAAAUGUACCCGAUUUUUGUAUCUAUCUAUAUGACUAUAUAAUCUUCCUUGAAUUUUUUCAGCAAGGAGGAAGUUAUUAUUUAUUGGCUUGAGGGAGGGAGAGGGAGACAUAUACAAUACUGCUUCCUGGUUCCUCUUAACUUAGGAGUUUAGUCUAGAGCCCAAUAAGCCUUUAUCUUAAUCCCAGCUCCUUCAUUCACUAGUCAAGGGGCCUUGGGUAAAUUAUUUGAUCUCUUUGUGCCUCCGUUUCUUGUUCUGUAAUGUGGGGAGAACAACAGUACCUUCCCUGUGGGAUUGAGAGGAGUCAAUGGCCGACGCACGUAAAUGCUUAGGAUGGUUCUCAGCACACAGGAAGUACCCCCUAAAUUCUAGUUAUUGGGGAUUCUUCUCAUUAUCAUCGAGUUUCCAAGAUGCUGUGAAUUCCACGACAGCUUAGUUCAAAGGUGAAGAGGAGUGUGUUUCAGAGGGAUGGUGCCUGAAAUCACAGGAGUGAAGCUUUUCGAGUCCUUGCCAGGUUAUAGCGUUCAUCAGGAUUGUCCCCUUGAAAUUGAUGAGAUUUCUGGAGAUAUUCCUGGUUCCAAGACUUCCUCCAAGGUAGAGCCAACUUGCGGUUGUUGGCUGGGGACAUGUUUGGAGUUAAUAAUCCUCACGUCACAUCUCAGGACAUGGCAUCAUGGCAUACUAUUCCACUGUUCUCAGAAGGCUAAGCCAAGAGAAAGUGAAAUUCCUUCAGUUGACCCCAGGAAUAUACUCAUUUCUAUCCAAAGAGGUCAUAAUGUUAUUAAUCAUUUAAUACAUUUGCCUUCCUGUCUCAACCCUGGAUUUUUGUUUUGUUUGGUUUUUAAAAAACCUGUCUCAGAUCACCUCUAGAAACACACCCCUUUGUCCCGCCAUUUUGGAGUCUCUUACAACUCCUGAAGAUUGCCUUUUAAUUUCAUCGUAAAAGUGUGUUACAGAUUAUAGCUCUGAAAGAAAUGAGAUCUUCCAAAGUAAUA